rnacentral:lncRNA from 1 species
AGAACAUUUUUUGAAUCAUAUCUUUCAUCAAACAUUAAUAAAACUAGUUCUAAAAAUUAUAGUGUUCAUAAAAAUUAAAGUACUUCAUGACGAGGAUCUCUCGGUCCAAUAGCAUAUCCACCCACCGCCGUCCAACAUAAUAGUUUUUGCCUGAAAUUUGUAAAUAAAGAGGGAUGAGUAUAACGAAUUAUAUUCAAUGAGAUGCUUGCUACUCCACAUUCAAAUCAAACAUGAAAUUAUGUAUAAAUUCUCUUACCAAUAUAACAUGAGAAUUAUCACACCAUGACAAAUGAUAAUUCUAGCAGGCAGUGCAAAGUAACGUGAAGGUUAAAUUGUGCCUUGAAAAUAACAUGAAGGCUGAAUUGUGCCUUAAAAUGUAUCAUAAUUUCUCUCGAAGGAGCUCUGAACUGAAGUAAUUAAAUUCAUACAUAACAACGUAUUUGAAAGAUGUGGAAAAACCACUAAUAGUACUGAGUAUCUCACCUUUUAAAGAUGAAUAUGGAGAAUAAAAUUGCAGUAAACAUGAUUCUUUAUUGCAAUUUCAAAGUCUUAAUAAUAUGGAGAAAUAUUUUAAAGAGGGAGAGAGAAUAGACGUGAAGCAGAAUACUUGAGGUUCACUGCUGUAUAUAUAUUAAACUGAAGCAUAUCGUAAUUCGUAACCGUAG